UGUAUCAUUAUCUCAUGUCCUUUAACAAUGGAGAACAUAUUGUUUAGCAAACAAUUGUGAACUGUAGUAUGAAAAAUACAUGACAACAUGCUGGCAAGGGUAAAAGGUCAGGAAUUUAAACUAUGACCAAACACAUUCCUUUUCCUUCUAUAACUGUACAAGGCAGGAGUGUAAACUUACUUGUGGAAUUUACACUGUACUGAACUGAGCCUCUUUGGGAAUCUUUCCAUGGCUUUCAUUUUAUGCCUCUUUCCAUAAUAAACUACAAUGACAGAAAUUUAAACACCCUUUUACCCUCCCACCCCCCAAAAAGGGGAGAAAGAAAAUGAGAGGUUUUUUUUUGUUAUUUUUUUUUUGCUACAAUGUUUAAUUAAUGUAACUCAUAUAUGAUUCAAUAAAUUCUUCUACCACUGAAGACUUUUUCAGAAAACUUGGGCAGACAAUAUUAUAUUGUUUCCUUAGUUGUCUAAAAAAAUUGGUUAAAACAUGAAUUGGAAGGAUUUUGAAAUUUGAUUACAAAGGGAGUUGGAAAGUUUCUUGACAAAGCAGCUCUUCAUUUUAUGGUCUACAAUUUAUGGUCCUUAAGACUUGUUGAGUCUAAGUUUCCAAGAGUUGCCUGGGGCAAUGAGAUAUGAAGUAGUCUAACAAGAGCAACAGAGCCAGUGUCACAGAUAGAACUGAACUCAGAUCUUCCUGGCUCUAAAGCCAGCUCUCUAAUGAAAAGGCAACACUGCUUCUCAUAAUGCAUUAAGAGACUCUAUAGAAAAAUACUUUUCAAAUAGAGGAAGUAUUUUGUGUUGGUCUGGUCAUUUGGGAGAUUUGUAGUCCUUAGGUCUAGGCACUGCACAAUAAGAGAGACAUUAACAAAUGGUCAUGAUCAGAGGAAAGCAACUAGGAUCAAAGGCAUUUAGAAACAAUGCCAUAUGUGGAACUGUUAAGGUACAUAGGAAUAGUUAAGUUUAAAGAAGAAAAGACUUAGGGGCCAUAAGAUGGUUGUCCUCAAAUAAUUGAAGAAAUAUCAUGUGGAAGGGAAAAUAUUAAUAUAGAAAUAGAUUUAGAAUCAAUGGAAAUUGAAGGAGAUAAGCUUUUGGUUCAGUACAAAGAAGAAUAAUUUUAUGAAGUUAUAGAGUUAGAGAAAGAAUUUUUAAUUUGUAAGAUAGUAUAUUCUCCAUCAAUGAAAGUAUUCAAGCAGAAAUUAAAUAACCAAAUGUCAGAAAUGUUUUAAGUCAAAUUCAGAUAGUCAACUGUGACUGCAUAUUGACUUAGAAACCCACAAAUUAAUAGCACCUCUGUUGUAUUAUUGUUUUAUUUAUUUUGUUAAACAUUUCCCAGUUAUGUUUUAAUCUAGUUCCUGAUGCACUCAGGAGUUUUGGAGGAAGCUUGUGGCCUACUGUCUUGAGUUUAACACUAUUUAUUAUAAGACAUAUUCUGUCAUCGAACAUUGAAUAAAAGGCCUUAAAGGUCCCUUCCAUCUACAAACUUCUGUGAUUUUUUUCAAGUACAAUAGGUGUAAUCUAUAGAUGUAAAAUAUUGUUCAAAUAGCAGAAAUAUACACAAUUUGUUACUCUUAAAAUAAUAUUAAUAUAUUUCAUAUACCGCAGCUAUAUGGACUUUUUUCCUGAUUUUAAAAAAAUUGUUUUCCUUCUACAAGCUGAGAUAAAACUGGGGAAAAGUGAAGCAUAGAGGGAUCUCAUUAGCCCUUAUCUCAAAAGUCCAGUACAAGUCAUGAUACCAUUAAAAUUAAUUUAACAUUCUCAUUGUAGUUUAUAGUUGCCUACUAAGUAAUGAUGAGCAGAUGCAGAAAAAUUGGAAGAUUGUCUUUGCGUAUGAUAUAAUUUUGGAUGACUGCUAAUUUAAGCCCAGAGAAGAUUGCUUGCUAUUUUUGGAGAAGAAAGUGGAUUCCCUAAUUUGAAAUGGAUUUGGACUGACUUUAAUUUGUACAAACCUGUGUCUUUUGUUUAUAACAUUGAUACCUGUGGUCUUUGUUUCCACAGGUUUUUGCAUUUGUUGGUUUUUGGUUUUGCUUUGUGGUCCUUAGCACAUAGUAGGUAUUUAAUAAAUGCCAGUUAACUAAUAAUAUAUCUUUCUCUUUUUUUCUCCUGUUUUUUGUUUCCCCCCAAUUUUUUUCUAAGUUUUAAAUGCUGUAUUUUUCUCUUAGGCUAUCUAUAACUUUAAAUCUGGGAAGGACCUGAAAGAGUAUUCAUUCCAACCCAUUUAUUUUAUAGUGGAACAAUCAAAAGUUAAGAUGGACCCUCAUCCCAUGUCUCUUUACUCUUAUCCAUUAUUUUCUCUACUAUGCUACCUUUAUUAUCCAUAAAGAUAAAAGAUAAAAAAGAGCAAUUUAAACUAUAUGUUGAAGUAGUUACAAUCAGUGAAGAAAUAUAUGCACCAUGAUAACUUGGACAAACAUAUAAAAGUAAUGUAAAAAUGACAGAAUGGAAGAUAAAGAAGUACAACAUAAAAUGAUAUCAAAAGGAAGGAAAAAACAAAAAUGAUGGACAUGUCAGUCUUUAUAGAAUAAAAUCAUGGAGGCAAUAGAAAAAGAGUUUGAAAGGACAAAGCUCCUUAAUUAUAUUGAAAAAACAGGAGGGAUGUUAGGUUUCAUAUCAUUUUGUUGUUUAGUCAUUUUUCAGAUAUGUCCAAUUUUGUAAUAGAGUGUUAUUCAAAGUUUUGUAUUGAGGGUAAUUCCAUUUGUUUUUUUCAGUUUGGCCCAAAAGAAAAUUCACAAUACAAUAUAUUCAAAGAUUACUCAUAACAAUGUUAUGAAUUUCUAACUUCAGAAGUAUAUGAGAGAAAGUUCUGUGGUUUUUUGAUAUCAACUCAAAGCAUACACUCUUAUGCAAUUAAAAUUUUUAAAGGAGGUUUUUUUUAUCAUUUUCUGACAUUUGCUUAUAAAAAUUGGCAGCUCUUUCUUCUCUUGCAUAUUGAUGCUAUUAUUAUUGAUUUUUAAAAAAUCCAUUGUUGAAAUAAUUUAGAAGUAUAGAACAUAAUAACAACAUAGGAAGUUCCAAGAUCUCAUAUGAGAACCAAUCCAUUAGGACUGUAAAGGGUCAUGGAAGGGUCUGCAAGAGACAUCCAAUUAGAGAUCUGUUUUCCCUUUAAAAGUCCUUGUCUAUUUCUCUCAGUCUUUUCAAAACACCCCAAAGAAGACAUAUAUCACAAUGAGGUCAAAGCAAAAAAGGAAAAAAAAAGCCUUAGAACAGCCUUAGAACAAUGACAGUUUCCAUUUAUAAUCCAAUAGUCAUGUGAGUUUUAAAGCCACCAAUCAUUAUCAAGAAAAGAAUGAAACUCAACGCCUGACAAGAAGAUGUGCUCUGAAGCAGCAUAAUAUUCAAUUUACUUCCAAGGCUACUGAUUUAGGCAGCAAAAGGAGAAUAAGUGGAAUAAUUAAUUUCCUACCUUGAAGGUAAGAUUGCUUCAAAGUUAUAGUGAGUAUAUGUGUAUGGGGGUGGGAAACUGUGUCUCUUAGGCAUUUAUUCUGGAUUGCAAUUAAAAAAAAAACAAUAUUUAAAACAAAAAAUCUAAUCUUAAAUGAGCCCAGUUUGGCUUAAGCAAUUGGAACUCACAGGACACAUUUUUACUCUCUAAGAAGCAAGUAGAAACUUGAAAAAUAUGCAGCCUGUCAUGAAAAGGGAGGGGUGAACUUUGCCCAAGUCUACAGCCAAACCUGAAGUCAGAACCUUUAAGAACAUGCCUCUUUUUUCUAUUUUUAUUUUCUGUGUAUCCAGUGUCAUUGGGAUCUACCUCUGGGCAGAAAUUGAGAAGUUGGUCUAUGCAAAGGAAACCUAUUCUUAGACUGCCUCUGGCUUCAUUGAAAGCAACUUUUAAAAUGCAAGAGCACUUUGUUGAAUGACAGCUGGAUGGAAAUGUUGUCUGCCAAAGAUAAAAAGAAAAGGGUACUAAGGCUGCUAUUCUAUAAAUCUAGAUGGUGUAUCCAAGAUGUACACACAGACAUAUGUUUGAUAUGGGUAAACUUUAAAUAGGUAGUGAUUGAACAUUAGGUAAAAUGUGUCAAGUUUUCCAUUGAGUGAUAUAUUCAAUACAGCCUCAUAAAUGCACCUAUCAUUUGGGAAUUCUACAAGGAAACCAAUAACAAGAAAAUAUUCACAAAUUCUCAAAAUAUGUCAAAAACUAUAUCAUCCUAAAAGAAGCAUGGUCGAACCAUGCUUAACAUUUAGAUUUAUUUGGAUAGUUUUGUUUUCUGGGAUUCUUUUAGUUACGAGAGACUGGAUAAUUAUUAAUUUUUCUUUUUUUAAAAUUUAAACUCUUCAAAGUUAUUGUUUUUCUUUUCUAUUUUCAUUUUGCCAUGCAGGUGUAUUUUUUCCCCUCUUAUCUGGGUUAGUGUCCUGUCAAGUGAGUAAUUUGGCUACUGAAAGGGGCAAAAUAAACGAACUUUUAGGAUCACAAAUAAACUUUUGCAUAAAGAAAAAUAAUUAAAUCAACUUCUGAAGGGAGGAAAAUGUUGUUCCUUUCAUGUAUGAAUAGUUUGCAUAUGAAUAUGAUAGAAAAAGAACUUUUGUUUAUCUAAAAGAAAUGAAAUUCAAGAAUUAAGAUAGUUUUGGGAUAAAAUGUGAGGAAACACAAAUGGCUAAGAAGACCAAAUAGAGAACUUGUAGUGCCAACCAGAGAUUUUGAAUGACCUCUUUGAGAAUAAGAAGAUGAUUGAGGUAAAGGGCAUUGUGGCCACUCAGGUCAUUUAUUUAUAAUGUUUUCAGCACUGAAACCAACAAAGACAUGAAUUAAAUAAUAGUUUGGAGAUUGGCGGAGAAGGAUUAAAAAUACAUUCAUAAAAUCAUAUAUCCAUACAAUCAAAAAUACAAUCACAAAGAAAAAAUGUCAGUUUUGCCCUAGAGAUGAUGGUUUGAGCCAUCAGAUAAGUUGAAGAAUCUAGGAAAAGAGAAAAUAAUGGGGCAGUUAAGAAAGUCGGGGCUGAAUGAGAAGGCAAUAGCAGGAAUUGUCAAUUGAUAAGAAGGCUUUAAAAACCUUAACAUUAGGGAAGCUGCUAACGGGGGAAAGAAUUGUUUUGUGGACCAGGUGAAAAGAAGGCUGGAAGUCUUCUGAUUCUUGAACAGCCAAACUCUGCUGGUUUUCUGUAUUACUUAUUAGUUUUGGAGAGAGCCAAAAUCUGUCAGAAGUGUCUGGUUGUUCUCUUUUGCCCCAACAAGGGGAGAAAGAAAAACAAAUGGGGAAAGACAGGUUUAAUGGUGAAUUCUGCUUGUUAUAACAAGCUGAUAGGAUGAUGCAGAUAGUUGAUAGAAUGAUACAGAAUCCACCUAAUUGAGAGCCUGGCUGGGCUAGUCUGUCUUACCCAGAGGAUGAGUCUGAGACCUUUGCAGUUCACUGGUUCAAAGGGAACUUUUUGUCAUUAUAAUAAAGUAAUAUUUCCUCAGCACCUUAAAGGGUGAUUGUGAAUUUCCAAAGCCUAUUUCUUCUUUACCACUUUAUGAGUAGGAAACAAGCAAAUUUGCACUGCAGUGAAAUGCUAAUGUACAGAAGGAUGAGCAUUUGGUGGAGAAAUGGUUUUAUGGAGUAUAGUUUGUUCUUGAAGAGCUCUGAGCUGUUAAGUUUGGAGUUGUAAGUUACCUUGAAUAUAUGGGUUGUCCUUAUUCAUGUGCCUCUCUCCUAGAAUUCUAUAAUUCUAUAAUUCCAAUUCAACCCAUGAAUCCUAUAUGAAUAGGUGAAAUGAUGAGAAAGUUUAUGUGUGAACUUUGAUAUAUUUGUUAUGAUUACAUUUGGAUUAAUAUUGACUGAUUGAAUUCAUAAUUAACUAUUGCUUUUACCUCAUGAUUAAAUAAAUCUUUCUGCCUAAGAA